CUGCUCUCUAGCCAUGCCAGCUCAGAUUGCAUGCAUACACUUUGAGCUGGCGAAACGGUCCAAUCACAGACUUUGCUAUGAGAAGCUUGUGAUUGGAUCACCCAAGGCCCCUGUGACAUUGGAUGGGACAUAGAAGAUAAACACUGGAAUAUUCACCCAGCAAUGGAUUGCAAGUGAGUAAAAACUUGUUUUUGCAGAUUUAAUGGGUGGAGGGGACCAUAGGGCGUAGUAAAUUGAAAACCGGUUAGACUGUGUGGGGGUUGGAGUAACCCUUUGAUAUGAUGCAUUUGAUAGAUUUUGGCAUGAAUAUGCUGCACCAUAAGCCUGCCUCCUUAGCCAUGCCCCUCAUGCCAGAAAGACUUCUUUAUCAAAAGUGUGCUAAAUAAUAGCCCCAACAGCAUUGAGUGAGUGGCUCUUAAAAUCACUACCUGGCUGCAGACAGAUGAACUACAAACAGGUAGCUAUAGUCUUGCUAUGUCUCCAUGGGUUUCCUCUCUUUGUAAUGCAGGUUGCUUUGUUGUUUAG